GAGUUUGAUCCUGGCUCAGGAUGAACGCUAGCUGGAGGCUUAAUACAUGCAAGUCGAGCGGGAUUGGGGUAGCAAUACCCCAUGAGAGCGGCGCACGGGUGAGUAACGCGUACACGACCUACCUCUGACAGGGGGAUAGCCCUGGGAAACUGGGAUUAAUACCGCAUAUUAUUCUGAUUAAUAAAGGAUUGGAAUGAAAGCUGAGGCGGUCAGAGAUGGGUGUGCGUCUGAUUAGCUAGUUGGUAGGGUAACGGCCUACCAAGGCGAUGAUCAGUAGGGGGCGUGAGAGCGUGGUCCCCCACACGGGUACUGAGACACGGACCCGACUCCUACGGGAGGCAGCAGUAAGGAAUAUUGGACAAUGGCCGCAAGGCUGAUCCAGCCAUCCAGCGUGCAGGAAGAAGGCCCUAUGGGUUGUAAACUGCUUUUAUCAGGGAAGAAACCUGUGGAUUCACUCCGCAGCUGACGGUACCUGAAGAAUAAGCACCGGCUAACUCCGUGCCAGCAGCCGCGGUAAUACGGAGGGUGCGAGCGUUAUCCGGAAUUACUGGGUUUAAAGGGUGCGUAGGCGGCUAUGUAAGUCAGGAGUGAAAGUUUGCGGCUCAACCGUAAAAUUGCUUUUGAUACUGCAUGGCUGGAAUUAGGAUGAGGUCAGCGGAAUGUGGCAUGUAGCGGCGAAAUGCAUAGAUAUGCCAUAGAACACCAAUUGCGAAGGCAGCUGGCUAGACCUGGAUUGACGCUGAGGCACGAAAGCGUGGGGAGCGAACAGGAUUAGAUACCCUGGUAGUCCACGCCCUAAA
rnacentral:rRNA from 1 species